rnacentral:rRNA from 1 species
AUUGAACGCUGGCGGCAGGCCUAACACAUGCAAGUCGAACGAGUGGCGGACGGGUGAGUAAUGGCUGGGAAACUGCCUGAUGGAGGGGGAUAACUACUGGAAACGGUAGCUAAUAACGCAUACCAUCAGAUGUGAGCAGAUGGGAGUAGCUAGUUGGGGGGGUAACGGCUCACCAAGGCGACGAUCCCUAGCUGGUCUGAGAGGAUGAACCUCCCCACUGGAACAGGGGCCCGGUCCCACAUCCUACGGUAGGACGAAUUGGGGAAUAUUUGCCAAUGGGCGCAAGCCUGAUUCAGCCCUGCCGCCUGUAUGAAGAAGGCCUUCGGGUUGUAAAGGACGUUCAGCGGGGAGGCGUUACCCGCAGAAGAAGCACCGGCUAACUCCGUGCCAGCAGCCGCGGUAAUAC